rnacentral:rRNA from 1 species
AAAUUGAAGAGUUUGAUCAUGGCUCAGAUUGAACGCUGGCGGCAGGCCUAACACAUGCAAGUCGAGCGGUAGCACAGAGAGCUUGCUCUCGGGUGACGAGCGGCGGACGGGUGAGUAAUGUCUGGGAAACUGCCUGAUGGAGGGGGAUAACUACUGGAAACGGUAGCUAAUACCGCAUAACGUCGCAAGACCAAAGUGGGGGACCUUCGGGCCUCAUGCCAUCAGAUGUGCCCAGAUGGGAUUAGCUAGUAGGUGGGGUAACGGCUCACCUAGGCGACGAUCCCUAGCUGGUCUGAGAGGAUGACCAGCCACACUGGAACUGAGACACGGUCCAGACUCCUACGGGAGGCAGCAGUGGGGAAUAUUGCACAAUGGGCGCAAGCCUGAUGCAGCCAUGCCGCGUGUGUGAAGAAGGCCUUCGGGUUGUAAAGCACUUUCAGCGGGGAGGAAGGCGGUGAGGUUAAUAACCUCACCGAUUGACGUUACCCGCAGAAGAAGCACCGGCUAACUCCGUGCCAGCAGCCGCGGUAAUACGGAGGGUGCAAGCGUUAAUCGGAAUUACUGGGCGUAAAGCGCACGCAGGCGGUCUGUCAAGUCGGAUGUGAAAUCCCCGGGCUCAACCUGGGAACUGCAUUCGAAACUGGCAGGCUAGAGUCUUGUAGAGGGGGGUAGAAUUCCAGGUGUAGCGGUGAAAUGCGUAGAGAUCUGGAGGAAUACCGGUGGCGAAGGCGGCCCCCUGGACAAAGACUGACGCUCAGGUGCGAAAGCGUGGGGAGCAAACAGGAUUAGAUACCCUGGUAGUCCACGCUGUAAACGAUGUCGAUUUGGAGGUUGUGCCCUUGAGGCGUGGCUUCCGGAGCUAACGCGUUAAAUCGACCGCCUGGGGAGUACGGCCGCAAGGUUAAAACUCAAAUGAAUUGACGGGGGCCCGCACAAGCGGUGGAGCAUGUGGUUUAAUUCGAUGCAACGCGAAGAACCUUACCUGGUCUUGACAUCCACAGAACUUUCCAGAGAUGGAUUGGUGCCUUCGGGAACUGUGAGACAGGUGCUGCAUGGCUGUCGUCAGCUCGUGUUGUGAAAUGUUGGGUUAAGUCCCGCAACGAGCGCAACCCUUAUCCUUUGUUGCCAGCGGUUAGGCCGGGAACUCAAAGGAGACUGCCAGUGAUAAACUGGAGGAAGGUGGGGAUGACGUCAAGUCAUCAUGGCCCUUACGACCAGGGCUACACACGUGCUACAAUGGCAUAUACAAAGAGAAGCGACCUCGCGAGAGCAAGCGGACCUCAUAAAGUAUGUCGUAGUCCGGAUUGGAGUCUGCAACUCGACUCCAUGAAGUCGGAAUCGCUAGUAAUCGUAGAUCAGAAUGCUACGGUGAAUACGUUCCCGGGCCUUGUACACACCGCCCGUCACACCAUGGGAGUGGGUUGCAAAAGAAGUAGGUAGCUUAACCUUCGGGAGGGCGUUUACCACUUUGUGAUUCAUGACUGGGGUGAAGUCGUAACAAGGUAACCGUAGGGGAACCUGCGGUUGGAUCACCUCCUUACCUUAAAGAA